AGUGAACGCUGGCGGUAGGCCUAACACAUGCAAGUCGAACGGCAGCACAGUAAGAGCUUGCUCUUACGGGUGGCGAGUGGCGGACGGGUGAGGAAUACAUCGGAAUCUACUUUUUCGUGGGGGAUAACGUAGGGAAACUUACGCUAAUACCGCAUACGACCUACGGGUGAAAGCAGGGGAUCUUCGGACCUUGCGCGAUUGAAUGAGCCGAUGUCGGAUUAGCUAGUUGGCGGGGUAAAGGCCCACCAAAGCGACGAUCCGUAGCUGGUCUGAGAGGAUGAUCAGCCACACUGGAACUGAGACACGGUCCAGACUCCUACGGGAGGCAGCAGUGGGGAAUAUUGGACAAUGGGCGCAAGCCUGAUCCAGCCAUACCGCGUGGGUGAAGAAGGCCUUCGGGUUGCAAAGCCCUUUUGUUGGGAAAGAAAAGCAGCAGGUUAAUACCCCGCUGUUCUGACGGUACCCAAAGAAUAAGCACCGGCUAACUUCGUG
rnacentral:rRNA from 1 species